UACAUGCAAGUCGAACGAACUUCCGUUAAUUGAUUAUGACGUACUUGUACUGAUUGAGAUUUUAACACGAAGUGAGUGGCGAACGGGUGAGUAACACGUGGGUAACCUGCCCAGAAGUAGGGGAUAACACCUGGAAACAGAUGCUAAUACCGUAUAACAGAGAAAACCGCAUGGUUUUCUUUUAAAAGAUGGCUCUGCUAUCACUUCUGGAUGGACCCGCGGCGUAUUAGCUAGUUGGUGAGGUAAAGGCUCACCAAGGCAGUGAUACGUAGCCGACCUGAGAGGGUAAUCGGCCACAUUGGGACUGAGACACGGCCCAGACUCCUACGGGAGGCAGCAGUAGGGAAUCUUCCACAAUGGACGCAAGUCUGAUGGAGCAACGCCGCGUGAGUGAAGAAGGGUUUCGGCUCGUAAAGCUCUGUUGUUAAAGAAGAACGUGGGUAAGAGUAACUGUUUACCCAGUGACGGUAUUUAACCAGAAAGCCACGGCUAACUACGUGCCAGCAGCCGCGGUAAUACGUAGGUGGCAAGCGUUAUCCGGAUUUAUUGGGCGUAAAGCGAGCGCAGGCGGUCUUUUAAGUCUAAUGUGAAAGCCUUCGGCUCAACCGAAGAAGUGCAUUGGAAACUGGGAGACUUGAGUGCAGAAGAGGACAGUGGAACUCCAUGUGUAGCGGUGAAAUGCGUAGAUAUAUGGAAGAACACCAGUGGCGAAGGCGGCUGUCUGGUCUGCAACUGACGCUGAGGCUCGAAAGCAUGGGUAGCGAACAGGAUUAGAUACCCUGGUAGUCCAUGCCGUAAACGAUGAUUACUAAGUGUUGGAGGGUUUCCGCCCUUCAGUGCUGCAGCUAACGCAUUAAGUAAUCCGCCUGGGGAGUACGACCGCAAGGUUGAAACUCAAAAGAAUUGACGGGGGCCCGCACAAGCGGUGGAGCAUGUGGUUUAAUUCGAAGCUACGCGAAGAACCUUACCAGGUCUUGACAUCUUCUGACAGUCUAAGAGAUUAGAGGUUCCCUUCGGGGACAGAAUGACAGGUGGUGCAUGGUUGUCGUCAGCUCGUGUCGUGAGAUGUUGGGUUAAGUCCCGCAACGAGCGCAACCCUUAUUACUAGUUGCCAGCAUUAAGUUGGGCACUCUAGUGAGACUGCCGGUGACAAACCGGAGGAAGGUGGGGACGACGUCAAAUCAUCAUGCCCCUUAUGACCUGGGCUACACACGUGCUACAAUGGAUGGUACAACGAGUCGCGAGACCGCGAGGUUAAGCUAAUCUCUUAAAACCAUUCUCAGUUCGGACUGUAGGCUGCAACUCGCCUACACGAAGUCGGAAUCGCUAGUAAUCGCGGAUCAGCAUGCCGCGGUGAAUACGUUCCCGGGCCUUGUACACACCGCCCGUCACACCAUGAGAGUUUGUAACACCCAAAGCCGGUGGGGUAACC
rnacentral:rRNA from 1 species